UGGGGAAUAUUGCACAAUGGACGGAAGUCUGAUGCAGCAACGCCGCGUGCGGGAUGACGGCCUUCGGGUUGUAAACCGCUUUUUCUCAUGACGAAGUUUUUUGACGGUAGUGGGGGAAGAAGCACCGGCUAACUACGUGCCAGCAGCCGCGGUGAUACGUAGGGUGCGAGCGUUGUCCGGAAUUAUUGGGCGCAAAGAGCUUGUAGGCGGUUUGUCGCGUCGAUAGUGCAAACUCAGUGCUUAACGCUGAGCCUGCUGUUGAUACGGGCAGACUAGAGGAAGGUAGGGGAGAAUGGAAUUCCCGGUGGAGCGGUGGAAUGCGCAGAUAUCGGGAGGAACACCGGUGGCGAAGGCGGUUCUCUGGGCCUUUCCUGACGCUGAGAAGCGAAAGCGUGGGGAGCGAACAGG
rnacentral:rRNA from 1 species